rnacentral:tRNA from 1 species
GCCCCCGUAGUCCAACCGGCAGAGACCAUGGAUUCAAAACCCAUCCAGUGUGCGUUCGAAUCGCACCGGGGGCACCA